UCGGACGGGUGAGUAACGCGUGAGAACCUGCCUUCAGAAUGGGGACAACAGUUGGAAACGACUGCUAAUACCCAAUGUGCCGAAAGGUGAAAGAUUUAUCGUCUGAAGAUGGGCUCGCGUCUGAUUAGCUAGAUGGUGGGGUAAAAGCCUACCAUGGCAACGAUCAGUAGCUGGUCUGAGAGGAUGAGCAGCCACACUGGGACUGAGACACGGCCCAGACUCCUACGGGAGGCAGCAGUGGGGAAUUUUCCGCAAUGGGCGAAAGCCUGACGGAGCAAUACCGCGUGAGGGAGGAAGGUCCUUGGAUUGUAAACCUCUUUUAUCAGGGAAGAAAAAAAUGACGGUACCUGAUGAAUAAGCAUCGGCUAACUCCGUGCCAGCAGCCGCGGUAAUACGGAGGAUGCAAGCGUUAUCCGGAAUUAUUGGGCGUAAAGCGUCCGUAGGUGGUUUUGCAAGUCUGCUGUUAAAGAAUGGAGCUUAACUCCAUAAGAGCGGUGGAAACUGCAAGACUAGAGUACAGUAGGGGUAGCAGGAAUUCCCAGUGUAGCGGUGAAAUGCGUAGAUAUUGGGAAGAACAUCGGUGGCGAAAGCGUGCUACUGGGCU
rnacentral:rRNA from 1 species